rnacentral:tRNA from 1 species
ACUUUUUUAGUGCAACUAGUACAGAAGACUUCCAAUUUUCUAAUCUUGGUGAGACCCCAAGAAAAAGUA